rnacentral:rRNA from 1 species
UACGUAGGGACCAAGCGUUGUUCGGAUUUACUGGGCGUAAAGGGCGCGUAGGCGGCGUGACAAGUCACUUGUGAAAUCUCUGAGCUUAACUCAGAACGGCCAAGUGAAACUGUUGUGCUAGAGUGCAGAAGGGGCAAUCGGAAUUCUUGGUGUAGCGGUGAAAUGCGUAGAUAUCAAGAGGAACACCUGAGGUGAAGACGGGUUGCUGGGCUGACACUGACGCUGAGGCGCGAAAGCUAGGGUAGCAAACGGG